GAUAAAAUUACCCGAAAGUGUUGUCAUUGUUAAAUAAAUUACGGAUGUGCGUCUUUGCGUCAAGGUCGUGAUUCUACAUAACAACAUCCGCUUGACCUCGCAAUGCCAAGAAGAAGAAAGGCGUGGAACAUUUGCUUAAGCCUGUCAAGAUCUUCAGCAGAUGUUUGAGCAAAAGUCAUCAUCCUCUUCGUCACUCUUCAUCCGUAUUUGGGGUAACAAGCACCUGCUUCCCACAAGAGACUGGACAGCUGAUGUCAGACCUGCACCUUCCUUGAACAUGUUGGUAUCUUACUCUGUAUUUGUUCACGGUGGUCACCCCAGGGUCUCAGGACUCAAAUUGAGUGCUCUAUGGAUUAAACAGAAAAUGCAGUAUAAACAAGUGUUAUGUUGUCUUCAACAUGUUGGUAACUUACUCUGUAUUUGUUCACGGUGGUCACCCCAGGGUCUCAGGACUCAAAACGAGUGCUCUAUGGAUUGAACAUAAAAUGUAGUAUAAACAAGUGUUAUGUUUUUAAAUGCCACUAAUAAUGUGUUUCUGUUUUCUUUCUCAUUAUGCUAACAAACGCUCUUUUACCCCUCAUGUUAGGUAGAUCAACACUCCAACCAUCUGCAUUAGGGACUGAAUAAAGGAUGCCCUCUGUAGCUGGGAAUGUUAGAUCAGGCGGAUCAACAUUCCAUCCAUCUGCAUUAGGAUCUACCUUAGAGACACUCACUGGAGCUGUAAAUGGGAAGCAGGUCACUUACUUUGCAUUCGUCGUCCUUGGUGGUCACCCAAGGGUCUCUAGAGUGAAAAUUACUCAAUCUAUGGAUUAAACAGAAAAUUUAGUUGUAUGAAGUGGUAUGUUGUCUUUAAAUGCCAUUAAAAAUGUGUUUCUGUUUUCUGUCUCAUAUUAAGAAAUACUCUUUAACCUGCCCACUGGAGCUGGGAAUGCAAUUUGGGACAUUCUUCCAGUUGUCGGGAACUUUGUGAAAAAGGCUGGAAACUUAAAUGCAGAAUUCUGGCCUGGUGUUUGGUCUGUGCUGUCUUUGGCUCUUGCAUCUCCAUCAUCCUGACCCUCUUUAGCAGCCUGUCCAUGUAUUUAUUUGGAGGCCACCAUGAGCACCCAUCUGCAUAAUAUGACUUUGUUACUCAGAUGUCCAUGCGCUCCUACAAAUUCUACAUUUUUUGUAAAGCUGCAACAAGUUGAAACCCUAUAAUUAUUAACGUUUGAUUUUGAAAUAUGUAAUUCCAAUACAUGAAUAAGUAACAAAAGCAGAAAUUUAUUAAGAUAUUACCUUUUUGUUGCUUGUUUACUGAUCUAUCAAUCCUUUUGCAUUUUCAUAAUUGUUCAUCAUAACUUGGUAUACAGUGGAUGUGUGGCUGCAGAUAACUUUCUGAAGUCAAUUUAAAAAGACAAAAGUUAAUAAAUGCUGAAUUGGUCAAAUAUACAUUGUUGUAUUUUCACCAUUUUGAUGUUUAGUCAUUUCAUAACUUGAGGGUUAAUUCACGUAUAGUGAUGUUUCAAAUCAAAGAUUAAUUUAUUAAUGACAGCUAAUCAUUUUAUAAAGAUUUUUAUUACAAUAUUUAUUUAUAUAAUAUCAAUUUAAUACAUUUAAUUCGUUACACCUACAUUACUGAGCGCAAGGGAGUGCAGCCAACAAAUACAUUCAGGUGUGUUCGACUUAACACCGAGAUGCGCAGACAGCACGUGGUAUGACAUCAAAGUACCGCGAGAGUUUGGGAAAGCCCCGGAAAAGGUUUGAUCUCGCGGUACUUGAUGUCACGAUCGGUUUGCGUGUAGAUCAGCAUGAAGUAGAACACAUCUGAAAGAUGUGUGGGCUGCCUGCACUCAACGUUGCGAUAAUUCAGUAGAGUGUAACCUCAAUCGGUUUUUGCAGCUUCUGGGUGUCGUGUCGAACGGUCGCAGAACGAUUUUUUGUUCUUUUCCAACUCGAUUUUUAACUCCCUAGACUAGUAGGAUGUUCCAACGGGUGAAGCAACAGUGCUGACGGCCGGCAGAGUUUCAGUGUCAAUUUUUCAUGCCAUGAUCACUGGGGCGGAAACCAUUAUGACGUUGCCUUGGACAUCAAACUAAACCAUCUCAUUCUGGCUUUUUUCUAACAUCGAAAUCUCAGAAGGCCAGGACUAAGAUGGACGCAGCCUCCACAUGCAACCUUGCAUUUGAGGAACACCCAUAGAACGGUCAACUUACCCCAUACUCUAACCUGAAUGCAGUGAUCAUAAAACUUUAUCUUUUACCUUAAUUGUUAGAUGGGUGUUGAUACCAAACUAUUUUUUCUCGUCUACCCAGGAGAAAGUCAUGGGUUCUGCUGCUGAGGUUGUCAUAAAGCAUGCUUUUUCCAUUUGUUGCAUUGGGCAAUAUUAUCAAAAGAUUCUGAAAGAAAUAAGAUAAUUUUCAAAGCAUUAACAUGAAUAUGAAAGCAUUAAGUCAUUAAUGACCAUCUUUUAUUAUUGUUUAUUUAUAGUGUCUUUUAUUCUGCUUACCUGACUCAUGCAGAAUUCUGGCUUGAUGUUUGGUCCACCUGUUAGCUGGCUCUGGUGCUUGGUAGUCUUCUCAAACCUCUGAAUCAAGGCCACCAUGAGAGGCCUUCUGAAGACCAUCAUUACGCUUCAGAUCCAGUUGUCUUAACUAUGAGCCUACCACAAUCCCUGUGCACCAGCUAUGGAAAGUGCAGACCAAACUUCUACCUCCACCUAUAGAACUGAACUGGAGUCUGUGAACUAUAGCUGUGUUCGAGACAACUGGAACAGCAAACAAAGUUGAGUAUCCGACCUCUCAACUUGUGACUGAUCGAUCAGCACCAACCUCAACGAGAUGCAUCAUUUGACAUUGCAGACAAGAUCCUUUCUCUUUUUAAUGCAGCACUUAAGGAUGAAGCACCCUGAUCUACUAAGAUGCACAGAUUCAACUCUGGCCCAGCAUCAUCCCCACACCUCAUCUGCCAUCAGUUUAAUUUAAUGUCUGUCAAUUGCAAAUGCUAUUUAUUUCAGUUAUAUUACAACUUAAUGUUAACUUUAAUUGAGACUAGUAUUGUGUAAAGCUGGGGUUUCCAAACUUUUCAUUUCAAAACCUAUUAGACAAGUAUAAUCUAUUCUAGACCCACUAAAAUAUUUUUACAUAUACAUUUUUUUAAUGGGGUAAAACACAUUUGUUCUCUUUCAGUGGAGUCAUUUUAUUUUCAUAAUAUUUCAUAAUGUAAAGCAGUGGUUCUUAACGUUAUUCCUCGAGGCCCACUGCUCUGCACAUUUUGUAUGUCUCUUUUAUCUGACAGACUCAGUUCAGUUCAUUGAGAUCUCUUCUAAUGAGCUGAUGAUUUGAAUCAGGUGUGUUAAAUAAGGGAGACAUACAAAAUGUGCAGGGCAGUGGGCCUCGAGGAAUAACAUUAAGAACCACUGAUGUAAAGUAAAUACAAGUUUAUUUGCAAUACCAAAUAUUUUAUGGUAUAUUCUUUCAAAACCAUUGUCAUUGUUAAUUAUUAAUUUGGCCAAACUGUUGUUGCAUCAUUAAGGUGUGCAACACACCUUAACCUACUGUGUGACCGACAAGUGGGUCCUCCUGACACACAGUUUAAAAUCCCCUGGUGUACUGAAUGUAUUGUAAUUAAAGUCGCAUCAAAGUCUUGUGUAACAGUCUCCAUUAUUUAAAUUGUGAUUAUAUUCACAGUUUCACAUGAUACUUUCAGCACUUACUACAUCACAGUGUUUUUAAUGCUUUAAUUUUUAGGUUUAUUAUAAAUUCAUUCAUUUUUAAAGAAUUCUUUCUUUAUGUAGAACAUGCAAAGUCUAAAAUGGAAAGUGUCAUGAUCAGCUCUGGGUCUUGUGCAGUGAUUAAAAGAGCAGGUAGUAAAUGUCAUAGCUUUGCAGUAUAUUGGUAGGCUCUGGAUGUAAUGAACAUUCAGAACAUAUGUUUCAUAAAUUAAAUUUGGUAAACAAACUUGUCAGAACAAUUCAUGCUGUGAUGAUGGAUAAUACCUGGUCAAAUUAAUACAUGUAUAAUGUGUUUCGACAUUGUAUAAGGUUUCUUCAUCUAUACAGAGAUCUGUUAGAGAACGGUGCAGAGACUGCUGUCCAUUAUUGGUUACAGUAUAUUUGUUAAAAUGUUGCCAGUAAGAUUAUUUCCGUGUACAAUGUACUUUCUUUGAGAACCUUAAGUGUUUUAUUCUGCACUUAAAGCAUAAACGCAAUUUAAAUGCAGGAGUCCCCUCGUCCUUACUGCCAAAUAUGCAAGUGAAACUGGACUAAACGCAUACAGUAUACAUACGGG